ACAGGAGAGACGGGCUCACCAGGGGCCGGGAGCUGCCCCAGCCCCACUCACCCUGAGGACCACAGUCCCAUGAUACCAAGCCAGGAGCCCGCAGCAGCUGGAUGCUUUGUCCCUGAGAGCAGGGUGUAGGGCUCACCCGGCUACCUUGGAAGAGACAUCGCCAGGCCAGAGGAGCCCAUGGAUGCCAGUGGCGACCUCCCAGGGAGAAGCCAGUGCUUCUGAGUCACACAGGAAAUGUGCAGCCAUGACCACAGGCUGGAGGGGGCAGGAGGGAGGAACAGCCCCCAGCUGCAGACAGACUGCACUUGAGGCCCACACUUGAGGCCCUGCCAUGGCUCAUUUGGGAUCUUAGUUCCCUGACUAGGGGUGGAACUCGUGCCUCCUGCAGAGGAAGUGUGGAGUCCUUGGCACUGGACCUCCAGGC